rnacentral:lncRNA from 1 species
AUGGUCAAUCUAAACCUAAUAUCCUUUUUCAUGCUAUUUUCUGCUAUCCUAAAUCUUUCCUCUGAAAGGCAAUAAUAGGUAGGCCAUCAGCAGAGCUUGAGGAAACGAUUGUGCUUAGAGCAACUCUGAUUAGUGACCGAUGGCCCUGCACCUCAUCCCGAAGAAGAUGGCGAGUCCGAAUGACCGUGUCCACGGGCCAGACCACACUAUCUUAAUUAACCAGGUAAAUUAAGAGAGCAUUCUUCUAAAUGGGCCUUUGUUAUUAUGCUUGUCACGGAGGACGGAGGACGGAGGACGGCAGGGACCAGUUGGGAGGCAAGGCUAGCUGGCCUCUCAAUAAAGACAACACUCUGGGAAGAUCAGCCCGAAGCCUCGGUGCUUAAGCUUCAGUGAGAAAGAAGAACGUCUGGACUGUUACAGAGACAGCAGAAUGUGCCUCCUGAGAGUCUCGCCUGGAAGUGUACAAAGUACCGGCAGAAACUCAGUCAUGGGACUUACUGUAUAAAAGCAAGAACUUUGGAAUAAAGUAAAAAACUUU